rnacentral:lncRNA from 1 species
AAAGGAAAAGGAUCAUGACCUAACAAUUAACAAAAAAAAUGUAAACAACCCAAACUAUUACCAUAAAAUUAAUAAUAUAAAAAAAACUCUACAAUUUGCCGUAUUUCAUUCAACGUCUGUAUUAUUUACAAGAAAAUGGAAAACAAUAAGAAUUGUUCCCCGAGAAGGAAAAAAAAUAGUGGUAUGUAGCCGAAAACUAAGAAAAGAAAGACAAAACACAAACAAUAGGAAUUUAAAAACAGAAACAAAUAAUGUUCUUGUCCAACAUUAUGGACAAAUAAUAAAAUGAGCAUGACCAUAAGUAUCCUCGCCUUCGUGUAGAAGCUUGACCCUGUUGUGGCAUGGAGAAGGGUCAGAAGGCGGCACCGGCCCUCUCGGAAGCUCGUUUUGGAUGGAGCUAUAGAACCCCAUCUCCUUAACCUUCAUCGCUCGCCCCAUUGCAGCCAUUUCUGCAAGUAGAAUAAAAAGAAGAAAUGCAACCCUUAUAAUAUUCUUGAUCAUCACAUUAAAGGACAUGGCUGCAACUAAACUCUAGCUAGUUUAAAUUUCUUUCUUCAAUUUCUUGGUGAUCGCGCGAUGGAUUCACUCCACCGUGUGGAUGGAACAAGUAUAUAUUUAUGUGUAGUGGUGAGGCAUGAAAAUUAAUGUACAGAAAAAUGAGAGUCCUAUAUAUAUAUAAAUAUAUAUAUAUAUAUAUAUAUAUAUAUAUAUAUAUAUAUAUAGAUAGAGAGAGAGAGAGAGAGAGAGAGAAAGGAGGCUAGGCGGGUAGCUGAAUUGGUAUGGCGCUUGUAAUAGGAGAGGAAUGAAUAUAUUCAAUAUGGUUUUCAACGCACCAAACUAGUGGGAUUUUGUUAAGGGUGAGUUUGUGUGCAUUGGCC